GACGAACGCUGGCGGCGUGCUUAACACAUGCAAGUCGAACGGAAAGGCCCUGCUUUUGUGGGGUGCUCGAGUGGCGAACGGGUGAGUAACACGUGAGUAAACUGCCCUUGACUUUGGGAUAACUUCAGGAAAAUCGGGCUAAUACACGGUAGGAGCUCCUGCUGCAUGGUGGGGGUUGGAAAGUUGGGGCGGUUGGGGAUGGAAUGGCGGCUUAUCAGCUUGUUGGUGGGGUAGUGGCUUAGCAAGGCUGUGACGGGUAGCCGGCCGGUGAGGGUGACCGGCAACAACGGGACGGAGAUACGCCGCAGGCUGCUACGGGGAGGAGUAGUGGAGGAUAGUACGCAAUGGGCAGAAGCCUGAUGCAACAACGCCGCGUGCGGGAUUAGGGCCUGCGGGUUGUAAACCGCUAUCGCCUAUGACGAAGCGUGGGUGACGGUAAUGGGUAAAGAAGCACCGGCUAACUACGUG
rnacentral:rRNA from 1 species